rnacentral:rRNA from 1 species
GAUGAACGCUGACAGAAUGCUUAACACAUGCAAGUCAACUGUGGCGGACGGGUGAGUCACGCGUAAAGAACUUGCCUCACGGAUAGGGCCAACAUUUGGAAACGAAUGCUAAUAACUGCUAAUGUGAGAGAGCUUUGCGUCCCAUUAGCUAGUUGGCGAGGUAACGGCUCACCAAGGCGAUGCUGGGUAGCCGGCCUGAGAGGGGGAUAGGACACAAGGGGACUGAGACACUGCCCUUACGCCUACGGGAGGCAGCAGUGGGGAAUAUUGGACAAUGGACCAAAGUCUGAUCCAGUAAUUCUGUGUGCACGAUGAAGUUUUCGGAAUGUAAAGUGCUUUCAGUUGGGAAGCGGUACCAACAGAAGAAGUGACGGCUAAAUACGUGCCAGCAGCCGCGGUAAUUC